rnacentral:rRNA from 1 species
AUUGAACGCUGGCGGUAUGCUUAACACAUGCAAGUCGAACGGUAGGUACUUCGGUACUGAGAGUGGCGGACGGGUGAGUAACGCGUAGGAAUCUGCCCUGUAGUGGGGGACAACGUGGGGAAACCCACGCUAAUACCGCAUACGCCCUGAGGGGGAAAGCGGGGGACCGUAAGGCCUCGCGCUAUAGGAUGAGCCUGCGUUGGAUUAGCUAGUUGGUAGGGUAAAGGCCUACCAAGGCGACGAUCCAUAGCUGGUCUGAGAGGACGAUCAGCCACACUGGGACUGAGACACGGCCCAGACUCCUACGGGAGGCAG